GACAGAGGUGCCGAGCGUUAGGCGGAAUCACUGGGCUUAAAGCGCGUGUAGGCGGAUCCAUAAGUCGGGCGUGAAAUCCCCAGGCUCAACCUGGGAACUGCGCUCGAAACUGUGGGUCUUGAGUGUCGGAGAGGAUGGCGGAAUUCCUGGUGUAGAGGUGAAAUUCGUAGAUAUCAGGAGGAACACCGGUGGCGAAGGCGGCCAUCUGGACGACAACUGACGCUGAGACGCGAAAGCGUGGGGAGCAAACAGG
rnacentral:rRNA from 1 species